AGCCGGGUCCCGUGCAACGGAGGGUUGUGAACCCCGUCAGGUCCGGAAGGAAGCAGCGGCAGCAAUUACCGACGUGUGCCGCGGGUAACCUGGCUAUC
rnacentral:SRP_RNA from 1 species